rnacentral:rRNA from 1 species
ACGAACGCUGGCGGCGUGCUUAACACAUGCAAGUCGAACGAAAAGAGGGAAAGAGCUUGCUCUUUCCGGAAUUGAGUGGCAAACGGGUGAGUAACACGUAAACAACCUGCCUUCAGGAUGGGGACAACAGACGGAAACGACUGCUAAUACCGAAUAAGUUCCAAGAGCCGCAUGGCCCAUGGAAGAAAAGGUGGCCUCUACCUGUAAGCUAUCGCCUGAAGAGGGGUUUGCGUCUGAUUAGCUGGUUGGAGGGGUAACGGCCCACCAAGGCGACGAUCAGUAGCCGGUCUGAGAGGAUGAACGGCCACACUGGAACUGAGACACGGUCCAGACUCCUACGGGAGGCAGCAGUGGGGAAUCUUCCGCAAUGGGCGAAAGCCUGACGGAGCAACGCCGCGUGAGUGAUGACGGCCUUCGGGUUGUAAAACUCUGUGAUCCGGGACGAAAAGGCAGAGUGCGAAGAACAAACUGCAUUGACGGUACCGGAAAAGCAAGCCACGGCUAACUACGU